UACAGCCAUAUCAUAUUGAAACACCAGUUCUCAUAUAAUCACUGAAGUUAAGCAACAUUGAGCCUGGUCAGUAUCUGGGUGGGUGACCACUUGGGAAUACCAAGUGCUGUAAG